rnacentral:rRNA from 1 species
ACCUCUAGCAUUUCUAGUAUUAGAGGCACUGCCUGCCCGGUGACGCUAGUUAAACGGCCGCGGUAUCCUGACCGUGCAAAGGUAGCAUAAUCAUUUGUUCCCUAAAUAGGGACUUGUAUGAACGGCCACACGAGGGCUUUACUGUCUCUUACUUCCAAUCCGUGAAAUUGACCUUCCCGUGAAGAGGCGGGAAUAUAAUAAUAAGACGAGAAGACCCUAUGGAGCUUUAAUUAACCGACCCAAAGAGACCAUAUGAACCAACCGACAGGAACAACAAACCUCUAUAUGGGCCGGCAAUUUAGGUUGGGGUGACCUCGGAGAACAAAACAACCUCCGAGUGAUUUAAAUCUAGACUAACCAGUCGAAAGUACUACAUCACUUAUUGAUCCAAAAACCUUGAUCAACGGAACAAGUUACCCUAGGGAUAACAGCGCAAUCCUAUUUCAGAGUCCAUAUCGACAAUAGGGUUUACGACCUCGAUGUUGGAUCAGGACAUCCCGAUGGUGCAGCAGCUAUCAAA